rnacentral:rRNA from 1 species
CGGAGAAAUUCCAAUCGAACCUGGAGAUAGCUGGUUCUCUCCGAAAUAGCUUUAGGGCUAGCCUCAAGUGAUGAUUAUUGGAGGUAGAGCACUGUUUGGACGAGGGGCCCCUCUCGGGUUACCGAAUUCAGACAAACUCCGAAUGCCAAUUAAUUUAACUUGGGAGUCAGAACAUGGGUGAUAAGGUCCGUGUUCGAAAGGGAAACAGCCCAGACCACCAGCUAAGGUCCCAAAAUAUAUGUUAAGUGGAAAAGGAUGUGGCGUUGCCCAGACAACUAGGAUGUUGGCUUAGAAGCAGCCAUCAUUUAAAGAGUGCGUAAUAGCUCACUAGUCGAGUGACACUGCGCCGAAAAUGUACCGGGGCUAAACAUAUUACCGAAGCUGUGGAUUGUCCUUUGGACAAUGGUAGGAGAGCGUUCUAAGGGCGUUGAAGCAUGAUCGUAAGGACAUGUGGAGCGCUUAGAAGUGAGAAUGCCGGUGUGAGUAGCGAAAGACGGGUGAGAAUCCCGUCCACCGAUUGACUAAGGUUUCCAGAGGAAGGCUCGUCCGCUCUGGGUUAGUCGGGUCCUAAGCUGAGGCCGACAGGCGUAGGCGAUGGAUAACAGGUUGAUAUUCCUGUACCACCUAUA